rnacentral:rRNA from 1 species
GGAAUGAGUAGCGAGAAUUAUGUGGGAAUCAUAAUGGCCGAAAAUCUAAGGUUUCCUGGGGAAGGUUCGUCCGCCCAGGGUAAGCCGGGAGCUAAGGCGAGGCCGCAAGGCGUAGUCGAUGCACAUACGGUAGAAAUUCCGUAGCCGGUACAAUUGUUAAUCACGGUGACACAUGAGUGUAGCUCUACCGGGCGUUGGUAGCCCCGGGCGUAAGCGAGCCGAAUGAGGCGAAGUGAGUAAAGCUUGUGGCGAGAAAAGCCGUGAGGAUUGGUUGUACUGCCCGUACCGCAAACCGACACAGGUAGAUGAGGAGAAGAUCCUAAGGCCAACGGGAGAAGGGUUGUUAAGGAACUAGGCAAAUUGACCCCGUAACUUCGGAAUAAGGGGUGCCUACGAAAGUAGGUCGCAGAGAAUAGGCCCAAGCAACUGUUUACCAAAAACACAGGUCUCUGCUAAAUCGAAAGAUGACGUAUAGGGGCUGACGCCUGCCCGGUGCUGGAAGGUUAAGAGGAGAGCUUAGGGAAACCGAAGGUUCGAAUUGAAGCCCCAGUAAACGGCGGCCGUAACUAUAACGGUCCUAAGGUAGCGAAAUUCCUUGUCAGGUAAGUUCUGACCCGCACGAAAGGCGUAAUGAUUUGGGCACUGUCUCAACAGCCCGCCCGGCGAAAUUGUAGUACCGGUGAAGAUGCCGGUUACCCGCAACUAGACGGAAAGACCCCAUGGAGCUUUACUGCAGCUUAAUACUGAGAUUCGGUAAAUCAUGUACAGGAUAGGUGGGAGACUGGGAAGCAUGGCCGUCAGGUCGUGUGGAGUCAUCCUUGGGAUACCACCCUUGGUUUGCUGGGUUUCUAACCUGCGGCCGUGAAUCCGGUCGGGGGACACUGUUAGGCGGGCAGUUUGACUGGGGCGGUCGCCUCCUAAAAUGUAACGGAGGCGCUCAAAGGUUGGCUCAGCAUGGAUGGAAACCAUGCAAUGAGUGUAAACGUAUAAGCCAGCCUGACUGCGAGACCGACGGGUCGAGCAGAGACGAAAGUCGGAGUUAGUGAUCCGGUGGUAUGUGAGUGGAAAUGCCAUCGCUCAACGGAUAAAAGCUACCCUGGGGAUAACAGGCUGAUCUCCCCCAAGCGUCCACAGCGACGGGGAGGUUUGGCACCUCGAUGUCGGCUCGUCGCAUCCUGGGGCUGAAUUAGGUCCCAAGGGUUUGGCUGUUCGCCAAUUAAAGCGGCACGCGAGCUGGGUUCAGAACGUCGUGAGACAGUUCGGUCCCUAUCUGUUGCGGGCGUAGGAGAUUUGAAGGGAGCUGUCCUUAGUACGAGAGGACCGGGAUGGACAUACCUCUGGUGUACCAGUUGUCCUGCCAAGGGCACGGCUGGGUAGCUACGUAUGGACGAGAUAAACGCUGAAGGCAUCUAAGCGUGAAACUCCCCCUGAGAUAAGAUCUCCACUGAGGCUCGACGUAGACUAUGUCGUAGAUAGGUCAGAGGUGGAAGUGCAGUAAUGCAUGGAGCUGACUGAUACUAAUAAGCCGAAAGCUUGACCAA